GGGAAAUAGAAGCGUAUGGAGGAACUCAGAGAAGAGGCAGCAUAGCAGGGCAAAGGCACAGAGAUCCUGGACCUCCCAGACAGCCCACAGAGCCUGCAGGGUCUCCUUUGCUCCUUAGAGGACCUGGAGCUGAUCGUGGGCCAGGGAGAUGCUCAGCAGGGGAAGCUGUUGCCUUGGUCCAAGCAGGAGACAACGAGAGGGAACGUGGGUGUUGGCGUGGAGGUCAACUCACCGGCCACCAGCUCAUGGACCUCCCCGCCAGGAAGUAGCCGCCAACGGUCCCUCGACUUGCGCGGAUGGACGACUGGA